AUUGAACGCUGGCGGCAGGCCUAACACAUGCAAGUCGAACGGUAGCACAGGAGAGCUUGCUCUCUGGGUGACGAGUGGCGGACGGGUGAGUAAUGCAUGGGGAGCUGCCCAAUCGAGGGGGAUACCAGCUGGAAACGGCUGCUAAUACCGCAUACGCCCUGAGGGGGAAAGGUGGGGACCUUCGGGCCUACCGCGAUUGGAUGCACCCAUGUGGGAUUAGCUAGUUGGUGAGGUAACGGCUCACCAAGGCGACGAUCUCUAGCUGGUCUGAGAGGAUGACCAGCCACACUGGAACUGAGACACGGUCCAGACUCCUACGGGAGGCAGCAGUGGGGAAUAUUGCACAAUGGGGGAAACCCUGAUGCAGCCAUGCCGCGUGUGUGAAGAAGGCCUCGGUUGUAAGACUCUUUCGGUCGAGGAACGGAAACGGACGGGCGUCUAACAUAGCCUGUCAAUAGACGGGUACCUAGAAGAAGAAG
rnacentral:rRNA from 1 species